GCUGUGGUGAUGUAAUGGUCAGCAUAUCUGUCUAGUAAGCAAGAAGACCCGGGUUUGAGUCCCGGCCACAGCA
rnacentral:tRNA from 1 species